rnacentral:rRNA from 1 species
UACGUAGGGUGCUAGCGUUGUCCGGAUUUAUUGGGCGUAAAGAGUGUGUAGGCGGCCAUGUAGGUCCGGCGUGAAAACUCGAGGCUUAACUUCGAGAUGUCAUCGGAAACCAUUUGGCUAGAGUCCGGAAGAGGAGAGUGGAAUUCCUGGUGUAGCGGUGAAAUGCGCAGAUAUCAGGAAGAACACCAAUGGCGAAAGCAGCUCUCUGGGACGGUACUGACGCUGAGACGCGAAAGCGUGGGGAGCGAACAGG